rnacentral:rRNA from 1 species
CCUUGUACACACCGCCCGUCACACCACGAAAGCCCGUCGCAACAGAAGUCGGUGAUCCAACCCGCAAGGGAGGAAGCCGCCAAAGUUGUGGUUGGUGAUUGGGGUG